AUAUAUUGAAGUUCCUGUUUCCACAGCACAUUUCAAAUAGUUCCACAAUCUGGAGUUCCCUGUUAGCUGCCCUGCUACUAGCUACAGGACAACAUUUUCUAUUUGUGUAGAGUCAAAAAGUUUUGGACAAGGUUUGAUCCAGUUGGUAAGAUGAAUGAAUUGGGCCAGACCGGAAAAUUUCUUCCUCUUAAGCAAUCCAAAGACUUUUGAAACACUUUUUUUUCUUUACUAUCAUGGAAUCAUCAUGGAAUCAUUUGAGUUGGAAGGGACAAAGCAGGCGUUGCAUAGGUUUCCCUCCUGAGAUAUCCUGCUGCUGUGACUUUUUUCGAGGUUUGUUAACUGAACUUGAAAUGACAAUGAUUCACUUUCCUCUGUCAUAACCUGUUGACUGAAGUCAGUCGCUCCUGCAGACCACGGUUUUAUUCCUCUCAUGGAAAAAGCCAGCUGGAUUAAAAGAUCGCAUCAACCCACUGCUUGCAGGAAUCACCAAGAUUGGUACAACAAAUUCUAGUUUUGGACCUCAGAGGGGAGGAGUGCAACGUGCAACAUGGUAAAUAUUAUUCAAGUCAGAUGACACCUUAAGUCCUUGACUUUAGAAGAUAGGGAAACAGAUUAUGAGUUUUUGGGAUCACACAAAGGAAAAGCAGCUGUUAUUAAUCUUUCCAGCUAAGAGAAUUAAGAAAUAUUUCUUAUACAGGACCUCAAGUCUUAGAAAUUUUACAUUAUGCAUAUAAAUUAUUCUAUUUUUACUUGCAAACAGUCAUAUGGCCUUAAAAGAAAGGCAGUGAUAGCAGCACUUUGGAGAGGUAGGCUUAAAGUAUUUGGUAAAUGGAAAAACAUUAAUACCUUAUAUCCAUGUUGUUCUCCGUGUAUGUCUGCAGCUCAGUGUGAGGUUAAACCAGAAAGAAGAGAUCUCAAGCUGAUUGUUUUUGAAAUCAUGGUUCUGCUGACCUGCAAAGGAAAACAGUAAGAUCACCUUUGCUAUAAUGAAAAUGAGGUUAUAGAAAUGCUGGGUUUACAAGUCACUGUGGGAUUCCUCCAAGCUGCAAAGCACUAAAAUAACAUGAGAAAGUUCACUAAACAAUGUACAAGGAUUUCAGACACAACACCUACAUUCUUCUGCUUCCCUGCAUUGCAUUUGUUCUCUGCAGUUUCAAACUGCUUACCUAAUUCAGUCAUUUGGCAUGCUGUAAUAUUAGAUUUAGCAGUGAUGUGUUUUCUGGGCACAGGUGAAAUAAGAAAUUUGUUAAUUCACAUACUACAAUACUGCUAGAAUUAUGAACUUCAGUGAGAAAUUGCUUUUAUAUACAUUCAUUAAGCUUUUAGACUGCCUUGAGAUGAAACAGUGUUAUAAUCAAAAUCAGUAUAAGAACGUGUUGAAAAUGGUUUUGCCAAUUAAAGGCUGACCCUGCUGUUGGUUGUUUUUUUGUAGUUUUGUUUUCUGGUGUUUUGUUUUCUAUUUGCAUUUUAAGUGGGAUCCUUCAACAGACCAGAAUAGCUGAUGGAGAACCACUGACAUGGUGUUGAGCUUGUAUGGAAGGAUCAGAUAACCAGAGUAAAACAGAUCAUCAUUCAUUUGUGGGAAUUAUUUAUAGAAAUUUAUGAAGGAAUCUUUCAAUAUUAUUGAAACUUAAUUAUCAGCUUUCAGAAAUGAUUCUGUUCCAUUCUGCUACUGAACAUUUUUAUAACUCUGACAGAUGUACCAGCUGGUGGACCAUGUUAAUCUGUCAUUAAUAUUAUUAUUAUAUUAUUUUUGACAUAAAAACAGUUUUGGCUCUCACUUUUCUUGAAACAGCUUCUUAGAUGAGAAUUUCAUUUGAAGCCGGACUUAAUCCUAGUCUUAACCGUUAAUUAGGGAACUGGCAUGGAACAAGUGGGAGCAGAAGUUAUCUGUUUUUGGACAGAUUUUGUUCUUGUAUUUGGCUUUCCAACUUAAGUAUCUGUAAUAGGAUGUGAGUUGCUGAUCCAUUAUAGUUGUGUUUACCCAGAUUUUUGUCAAGACAAUCCAAGAAGACAGUUAGUAACCAAUUACAAACACAGGCAAAUCUGCUAUUCCAUGUUCAAAUGAGCCUGAAUUUAAUUUUUUAAGUAUGUUAUUUAAUAAUUAACUCUAAGCCAUAAUCAGAUUUUUUUGACACCUACUCAACUGAAAUCAGUGCAUGAGUUUGAGAUUUUGUAUGGAUGCCUUGGCUAAAAGCAUUGUCAUAAACUAACUGUGCCACUGCCAAAACCUUGGUAUUAACAAACUUAAACUAAUGCAGGCUUAUGCCUCAAUGCCUCAAUGCAGGCAAAUGCAAAGACUUCCUCAUAAACCUCUUGUGCGAUACAAGCAUUUAAACUUUGGGUUUGUUCACAAUUGCAGCUCUUGGGAAUCUUUCUGUGAUGUGAUCUUUUAGAGAGAUGCUUUUAGUUGAUUGAAAUGAAGCUGCUGUUGAUAUAAAAAGCUUUGAUGCAGAACAGGGAUGUGGUGACUUGAAAUAAGCAUUCAUUUUGUCGUACCAGAAAUAUACACUCUUAAGAGGCCAUAAUAAGUUGGCGAUGUAAUAAAAGACAUUGAUGUAGAUAUGUUGAUCACUGAUGUGAAAUAGCAAACUGCUUAAAGCUUAUGAUAUUUUGUUACACUUGUAUGCCAAGCACGUUCAUUAAAAAAGAGUUCUAUUUCCCUAUCCCUCUUUUCCAUAGUUCUCACAAAAUGUAGAAUAAGCGACCCUGAGCAAGAGCUGUACAGAUCUAUUAAAGGGAAAUACUAGAAGUAGGCAGGGUGUUUUUUUUUAUUUCUUUUUGUAUUUCUUUUUCCUUGAUUUUAUCAGCAUGUAUUCUUCUUCUUGGAGCUGCUCACAGCAUCUUUUGCUGACUCGUACAAAGAGGACCAUUCCUUGCCCCUUGCUCCUUUCUGCUAUCUAUACAGCACCCUUAUCUCAGCUGGGAUACUUCCUGUAACGAAAGAACUCCUGCACUAGAAUUUUUUGAAGUUAAUUUGUAGACAAUUAAUCUGAGGAGCUGGAAUGGAGCUUCUGAGAGAUUACUCUUCCCAGUAGAGAACAAAAUAAAGCUAUAAAUACCACUCAAUAGUUGUCGCCAACAUGUUCAAAAUAGAGUCCCAGGCAACAGAGUAAGACGAGUGCAUGCUCACAGAAUACUCAUUUCCAAAACUUUAAAAAUAAUGCAUUAAUGGAUUAAUAGUGUACACAAAAGAAUUUUUACACUGAUUAGUCUAAAAUGUAGAGCUGGAGAGUUGGAUUUGAUGACCUUUAAGAGUCCCUUCCAAAUGAUUAUUUGAUUCUGUAUUUAUACAAGUUGAAGUGCUAACCAAACCUUAAGUAUUUACAUGAUAUCAUUUCAAUUCUGCAUGAUCUUGCAAACACUUUUAUGCUACCGCAGCUUCAGUCACUUGUGCUAUCCACGUGAGGUUAUGUACAUAUAUAAAUACUUGUGGGACUGGUUUGUUAGGAAAAGACCUAACCAUCAUCAGGGUUGGCAUAGAGAAUUCAGGUUUCUUCACUGCCAAUUAUUUGAUAAUGAUGAUAUAUAUCUAUUAGUAUGCUUUCCCCUAGCAAGUGUUUUCCCCUUUUUCUAAGACUGCUGCAUUUUUUUUUUUGUCAUGCAUGAAAAACGCUUUUCUCAUUCUUUUUCUCCUACCCUCUCUGCCUCCUUUGUAAAAUAUUAUUCUGGAGCUCAAAAGGACUUAGUGAAGUUUCUGUUUUUUUCCUCAUCAAAAGAAAUAAACCCCUGCUUGCCUCACUUGGAACACCCUUUAGUGAGGACAUGGUUGACUUGACAGCUGGUAUGUCAGCAAAAUUAAACAAAACUCAUGGAUUUUGAAGGUAAGUCCACCAUAAAUUAAGCUGCCUGAUGAGGUCUGCAGAGAACAUAUUUAAUGAGUUGUGUUAUAUUAGAGGUGUAGUGUAGCUGCAAGAGUAUGUUAACUGUAAAUUUGGAGUGUGUUUAAAAAAUGGGCUGCUGAUAACUGAAGAACUGCAUUUUUCUUAAUCCCAGUGUGAGAAAAAUGGUGGAUAAGAAGUUCAGACAUAACACUUUUAGUUCUUGCGUUGAUAGGAAAUAAUUUGUAAUGGGUAUUUUGCUGUUUCCUACCUUUGUUUCUCUUCUUCCAAAGAUACAUGCCAGGUAAUAUUUAGAGAUCUUUAUCCCCAAACUGCAAUCUGCACAGGCCUUUACAGUUGGCCUUUUUUGUUCCACAGAAGUAAGAGAUGCAGAGGACAAGAGGUAAUGGCCUUAAGUUGUGCCAUAGGAGGUUCAGGUUGAUAUUAGGAAAAGGAAUGUGGGCAUGGGGGCUGGGCUGUGUUCAGUGGUCUUAGAGGUCUUUCCCAACCUUAAUGAUUCUAUGAUCAGUUGAAGGAACUGUGUACUCUUCCAACCAGGCUGAAUUAAAUGGCAGUUAUUGAUUUAGAAUAUAAACUUCACCCUUUGAAAUAUGAUAACCUUCCACAGUAUUUCAACACAUUUCCAACUGUUGGUCUUGAACUUUCCACAUAGCAACAAUACCCACAUGAGCAGAAAACACAGCUGAGUUUUCCUGUCAGAAGUAAUCUGGCAGCACUCCAGAAAGCAUGGACAGCACAGAACAAAAAGAGCUUGUAACCACAUGCAACAAUGUACGUGAGACAGCUGUCAGUUGAAUUACAUUUCCUAAGUUGAAUUUAUGCGGAAAUAUUUCCUAAGUUGUAUUAAAGUGGAAAUACUAUACAAAAAAAGCAGAUUUGCUAAAACCACAGGAGUACUUGCACGAGUCUACCCUUAGGAUGAUGCCCUAAAUGGGUCCCUCACAGAAACAUCUACAGUUCUACAAGUUUUCAGAAUUCAGAGGGUGAACUUCUAUUUUGAAAUCCUCAAAUGGACAUUCUUUCCAAUAAAUAUUUUUUCAAAACCAUAAAAUAAAAUAUCUUCCUCUGUACUGCCA